rnacentral:rRNA from 1 species
GAGAACUUACCAGACCAUGCUGGUUCAUGCUUCGGGAACUCUGAGACCGGUGCUGUAUGGCUGUCGUCAGCUCGUGUUGUGAAAUGUUGGGUUAAGUCCCGCAACGAGCGCAACCCUUAUCCUUUGUUGCCAGCGGUUCGGCCGGGAACUCAAAGGAGACUGGCAGUGAUAAACUGGAGGAAGGUGGGGAUGACGUCAAGUCAUCAUGGCCCUUACGAGUAGGGCUACACACGUGCUACAAUGGCGCAUACAAAGAGAAGCGACCUCGCGAGAGCAAGCGGACCUCAUAACAGUGCGUCGUAGUGCCGGAUUGGAGUCUGCAACUCGACUCCAUGAAGUCGGAAUCGCUAGUAAUCGUAGAUCAGAAUGCUACGGUGGAAUACGUCCCGGGGUCUUGUACA